UAUCUAAGGUUAGCGUCUGGAAACAAAUCAUCAUGUGGGUCAAUCCUGGCGAUAUUGCAGAAAGAGUCGAAGCUCAAUGGCUUGCACCCCUGUGGACUCGGGUGCCUGAAAACGUUGGGCUCCAGCCAGGAGGAUUCUGUGACAGGAAAGCAACGAACACCUCCAAUCCGUCCACGACCACCUGAUCUGAAUUAUCGUCACAAACGACUUUCGAGAAACAGUGGAACUAAGCCUGCGCCAAGCACUCAACCAGGAGUUCCACUCCUUCCACCACCACCUAACCGCAACGCCCAUGAAAGAGGACAUGCAGGCAGGAGCAGAAUGGGUUCUGUUAACGGGAUUGCACUGAUACCACGACCCCGACCAAGAGCAGCUAAGCUUGGAGGACGCACCUAAGUAGCUACGUUCCUGCUCUGCUCCCGUCUCAAUGCGCUACGCCAGUACUACCCCACUACGGUGCUACUAAGAUGGGUCCAAAAAAGUAAGAAAAGAAUAUGGUAGUAUAUCGGCUAACCAAUUACUAGAGAGCCAUACACGGCACAAGCACUUGGAAGCUUUUUAGCUCGACCAUCUAUACGGUAUUUUUUUCUUAUGUGCUCCUACUUUGCUGUUAAAAUAAAUUUGAAAUCAACGUCUCGCUAAAAUAAAAUGACUUCAGUCCCUCGGAGCAUCCCCUGGAAACGUUUAUUAUUAUAUCUUUUGUUUACGGCACCGCUUCUUUCAUUUAUUCUGUAUUAACAAGCUGACUGCAUA